GAGGAAGAAGAGGACUAGAGGAGGAAGAAGGACACACAGACACAAGGACUUUCCCAGCGCACGAACGCCCCUCGAGCACGUAUUCGAUUUUCUUUGAGCACAAUACUCAACACCCGGCUACAUGGCUUACAACACAACUCUCAGUUUCAACCAUCACGCGGUCUACGGGAUUUAUACCCGGGCUGGCGCAUGCACACACUCAGCCCACCCCGCCCCACGCGCACGACCUGCAUGCCCGGCCGCAUGCACCCACGACGCGCUCACCACGGCCGCUUCCAACGCAUUGCUAACCACCUAGCUAGAUCACAUGGCUGUCCCACUAUGCCACACACACACCCUAGGGCACGCGCACACACACACCCGAGCCUGUCACAGUCGGACCCGGCGCGGCCACCACACGCAAGCACGCGCAUCGCGCCUCACCCGUUUGAGCCGUGGCUUAUUUGCCCAACACUUCACCUCCUAAGCCACGGCGUUGCCGCACGACCUGCCGAUACGAGCCCUGCCUCGUCGGCAUCGUCUCGGCGCCAUGGACUCCUCCGCUGCGUCUCCAGCACAAGCGCCUCCACGGUUGUCACGCCGAGCCGCCACGACCUCUACGCCACCACGCAGGUCCUUCGCGACCUCCUCGUCUCCGCGACCGCCGUGCCCUUCGCGCGCACUCCCCACGUCCCUGCGCUCCCGGCCCGCGCUCCCGCCGUGCGCGUACGCGAUCUGCGCAACCAGGUCCAGUGCCUUGACGCGGUCCACUCCUGCGGUCCCGACGCGUCCAGUGCGCACCCAUAACACGUACCGGUCACGCCUGGCUCGCCGCCGCAGCUUAUUCGCCAUCUCCGCACGCCUCCAGCUCGUGCCAUGAUCGCGCUCCGACGCGAUCAACGCGGCCGAUCCGGCGUGUCCAGGAGCUCGGUCUUCUCUCCGCCGAGCCACGCCGCGCCACCGCAGCCUCUGUGCAACCAUGCAGUACCUCCGCGGUUUUCUCGCCGUGCCGCCGAGGCCUCCACGCUCGUCGCACGUAUGACAUCACAGCGCGCCGCCUCAGUGUCCGCCACCGGCUCACCGCUUGCUGCCUCUGUGUCUGCCACGACGGCCGCAACGCCGCGCAUCUCCUCAGGCCGACACACAGCCUAGAGCUCCAUCGCGCAGCCGCCGGCGAACGCCGCCGUCACCGGCAUGCCUCUGGCACGCUGAACCAUGCCAAGACGAACUAGCUCUUGAUACCAAAUGUUGUUGCCGCCCUCUCUCUCGCCUUGGCACUCGCCUUGCACUCGAGGAAGAAGAGGACUGGAGGAGGAAGAAGGACACACAGACACAAGGACUUUCCCAGCGCAUGAACGCCCCUUGAGCACGUACUCAAUUUUCUUUGAGCACAAAACUCAACACCCGGCUACAUGGCUUACAACACAACUCUCAGUUUCAACCAUCACACGGUCUACGGGAUUUAUACCCGGGCUGGCGCAAGCACACACUCAGCCCACCCCGCCCCACGGGCACGACCUGCAUGCCCGGCCGCAUGCACCCACGACGCGCUCACCGCGACCACUUCCAACGCAUUGCUAACCACCUAGCUAGAUCACAUGG
rnacentral:lncRNA from 1 species